GAUGAACGCUGGCGGCGUGCCUAAUACAUGCAAGUCGAGCGAACAGACGAGGAGCUUACUCCUCUGACGUUAGCGGCGGACGGGUGAGUAACACGUGGAUAACCUACCUAUAAGACUGGGAUAACUUCGGGAAACCGGAGCUAAUACCGGAUAAUAUAUUGAACCGCAUGGUUCAAUAGUGAAAGACGGUUUUGCUGUCACUUAUAGAUGGAUCCGCGCCGCAUUAGCUAGUUGGUAAGGUAACGGCUUACCAAGGCAACGAUGCGUAGCCGACCUGAGAGGGUGAUCGGCCACACUGGAACUGAGACACGGUCCAGACUCCUACGGGAGGCAGCAGUAGGGAAUCUUCCGCAAUGGGCGAAAGCCUGACGGAGCAACGCCGCGUGAGUGAUGAAGGUCUUCGGAUCGUAAAACUCUGUUAUUAGGGAAGAACAAAUGUGUAAGUAACUAUGCACGUCUUGACGGUACCUAAUCAGAAAGCCACGGCUAACUACGU
rnacentral:rRNA from 1 species